AUGGGUGUUAUUCCUCUGUGCUUCAAGUCUGGAGAAGAUAUGGACUCAAUUGGUUUGACUGGACAAGAACAAUACACUAUUCAUCUUCCAAGCAGUGUUCAUGAAAUGCAGCCCGGCCAGGAUAUUGUUGUUACCACAAGCACACGAAAAUCGUUUACGUGUACGCUUCGCUUUGACACAGAGUGGGCAGGCUGUAUGAUAUCGCAUUAUUUUUAUUAUAUAUAA
rnacentral:rRNA from 1 species